UACGUAGGUGACAAGCGUUGUCCGGAUUUACUGGGCGUAAAGAGCGCGCAGGCGGUCGAUCAAGUCGAGUGUGAAAGCCCCCCGGCUCAACUGGGGAGGGUCACGCGAUACUGCUCGACUUGAAGGCAGGAGAGGGAAGUGGAAUUCCCGGUGUAGUGGUGAAAUGCGUAGAUAUCGGGAGGAACACCAGUGGCGAAGGCGACUUCCUGGCCUGUUCUUGACGCUGAGGCGCGAAAGCUAGGGUAGCAAACGGG
rnacentral:rRNA from 1 species